UGGGGAAUUUUGGACAAUGGGCGAAAGCCUGAUCCAGCAAUGCCGCGUGUGUGAAGAAGGCCUUCGGGUUGUAAAGCACCUUUGUCCGGAAAGAAAUCCUUGGCUCUAAUACAGUCGGGGGAUGACGGUAUCGGAAGAAUAAGCACCGGCUAACUACGUGCCAGCAGCCGCGGUAAUACGUAGGGUGCAAGCGUUAAUCGGAAUUACUGGGCGUAAAGCGUGCGCAGGCGGUUUGCUAAGACCGAUGUGAAAUCCCCGGGCUCAACCUGGGAACUGCAUUGGUGACUGGCAGGCUAGAGUAUGGCAGAGGGGGGUAGAAUUCCACGUGUAGCAGUGAAAUGCGUAGAGAUGUGGAGGAAUACCGAUGGCGAAGGCAGCCCCCUGGGCCAAUACUGACGCUCAUGCACGAAAGCGUGGGGAGCAAACAGGAUUAGAUACCCUGGUAGUCCACGCCCUAAACGAUGUCAACUAGUUGUUGGGGGAUUCAUUUUCCUUAGUAACGUAGCUAACGCGUGAAGUUGGACCGCCUGGGGAGUACGGUCGCAAGAUUAAAAGCUC
rnacentral:rRNA from 1 species